rnacentral:lncRNA from 1 species
AUGCCGUCCCAUCCCCAUCAGUCUCUGGAGAAGGAGGUACAAGGACCUAAGAGACUGUUGAGGAUGUGAUGACAUAAACAUACAGAGAGGGUUAUGGAUACAUCCCUCAAUUUAGCCUAAAUUUGAAGAAGGAAGCAUCCCACGUAUUUAGCCCCAUCAGGAAAAGACAAACAAACAGAAUGAAACCCCACAGGGAAUUUGACUAUAAAAUUGGAAGUGGCAGCUAACCACAAAGAGACAUCAUUCUGAGAAGCUUGGCAUAGAGCUUCAUGACCCCGGAGUGGUAUCAGCAUUUUGGGGAUCAGCAAAUAUUUCCAGAAUUCAGUAGCUACAUCUCAUUGUAUGAAUUCAGUGGGUGUUUGGUGUGCUGUAUGGAUUUUAAUCUUCCUCUUCUGCUCUCAGUGACUGACUAGGUUUAGGGACUGUGACAGACUCAAUAUAGAACUUCUUGAUGACUUCCAAUACAGAUGCUUGAUUGUGCCACAAACUGGUAUGAUUUCUCUAGAAAGCUGUGGUUCUACCGUGGCUGAGCAUGUGGUCUCUCUGAGCCUUGGUUUCCCCAUCUACCAAAUAAGGCAAAAGACAAUUUCUGCUUUGGAACUCUGAAGUGCCAUUGUUGUCCUCACCAUUAUUACUCAGAAGUACUGAUGCUGGUGCUAGGGAAACCAAUAAGAUUCUAAGGGCAGUGAGGAACGAAGGGAUGAGGAAAAUGAAAACCAUGACCUGGAAAAGGAAAAGAGGGAGUGCUGGGGGAGAGAGGACAGAGCCCUCUCUGUGCUUCUGGGAGGACAUGAGGGAGAUUCCCAAUGGUGCACAACUCGAUCUUCAGAACUUUUUCAUCUUGCAACAUUUAAAGUCUGUGCCUAUUAAAUAAUGACAUCCCAUUC